GAAUGGAUGGGCAAUGGGAUCCUACUGUACAGCACAGGGAAAUGUGUGUGAUUGGGUCACUUUGUUGUACAACAGAACUUGAUGAAACAUAAAUCAACUAUACUUUAAUAAUAAAAAAAAUAAAUUCAUAUUGUAAAAAAAAAAGACAAAAAAAAUGAAACCCGAAAGUUGGCAGCCAAAGAAGAAAUUCUAUUUCUCAACCUUUCUAUUUCCUUUUUUUUAAUUUUUAAAAGUUUUAUUAAAGUCGAUUUACAAUGACUCAUACACAGCAAGUCAGAAGACUGAACAAAAGCCAAGAAAACCAUUGCUGUAUUUUGUUAAAUAUUGUCCCACUACACCAUUAGGUUUGCCAGGGAGAUACUUCCAUUCUAUUUUGGCAAAAUUAUUGUUCAAAGUUUUAUCAAAUUGAGAUGAAAAAUGUUACCACUUAGGGAACAUAAGAGCUUAUUCAUUCAAAACAGUUCUAGAGGUGAAUGUGGAAAAUGUUUUGUUAAAAUAGACACAGAAGAUACAAGUUAAAAGAAACUAAACAUUAUGUUUAUGAUAUAAAAUAUAUAGUAAUAAAAAUAGAAUUUACCAUGAUAAAUUAUUUUAAAUGCUAAGAUGUUUAUCUAUAUAAAAUUGCCCAGAUACUUAGAAAACUACUUUUACAUUGAGAAGUCAGAAACAAGAAAUAAGAAAUUUGUUUUGUGAUGACAAAAUGCAAAUAUUAAGAACAUAUGUAAUAAGCCUGAAUUACCUUAAACACAAGAACUUAUUAACAUUUUCUGAUAAAUUAGUGUGAUUAUGUACGUACUUAAAAGUUAGAAGAAAUUGGCCAUUUGAUGCUCUCCCCCUGGUGGGAAGUUGUGAAAACGUUAGAGAGGCUCAAGUAUCAUCAAACUGAAAGUCCUCAAUAGAGAUGGUAUUGAUUUGACAACUGACACUUUAAUAUAAAUAUAACAUUGCAUAAGCUUCCCAAUUACUGAUACUUGCUAAGGUGUAUAAUUCUUUUAUUGAAAGGAUACUCAAGUUUUAUUUAUUACUUGUACAAUAUGAGCUUUCUCCUUGUUUUCUCUCCAAAUGUGUUUCUGCUGUCAUCUAAGGAAAAUUAAAAACAGGAUUGUUUUUGAGAUAGUAGAAACCUAUCCAUAUUUGUCUUAUUUUGUUUUCCUCUUGUAACAUAGUCAUGAAUCUGUAGUGUUCAAGGUCCUUGAAUCUCUUUCCUUGCAAGAACUUGAAAUCUUUGACUCUUUGAAAUACCCAUACUAUUGUUGUGACUGGUACAUUUUUUCUGUCUUAGAAUGUCUUUACUUUUGAAACAAAAAAUAAGAAAAAAUUAAGAAAAUGAGAGAAAAGUGGUUUACAUGUUUAGAAUAAGGGAAAAAAAUCCCAUCUUUUAUAAAUGAGUUAUAGUUAAGAAAUUCAGAAAAUUAAAAAUGAUUCAAUGGAGAUAAUGUCAAGAAAAGCAGCCAAAUAACUAUUUUGGAGGGGAAUUUUACAACAAAAGUUUUUAACGAGAAACCUCAUUUUGAUUUAAAAUUAAAAGGAAGAUAAUUGUGUGCUCAGAUCAGUGAAGUUGGCCAGAAAGGGGAUUAUGCUGGGAGAUAGGAUUUCGAUUGAGGAUGGGCUUCUUUGGUCUAUUAAACUUGGUCAGCAAGGCUGGAUUUGCAGUUCCUUAAUUUUUAGGCCCAUAAAUAAUACUAAAGGACCUCUGCUUUCCUACCUUCACACAAUGAGGAUUCAAUUUAGGGCAUGCUAGCUAUUGAUGGUGAGAUGCUGGUGCUGUUGGUAAUACAGAGAGAAAAGCCAUAGAGAUAAAAUCAUCAGUUAAUGUUGGAGAAGCCAACACACAAUCAAGAAAUCAAACUCUGCCAACUCUUUAUAACUGAGCUGUGAAAAGUAUUUCAUUAUUUCUAGGUUACGAGACUGUAUGACUUUAAUUGCCAAGAUGCUGUGAUGUAUCAGGGACAAUGGUGGCAGCCAUUCUGAAGUUUUAUCACUUGUGGCUGAAGAGAUCCUGAAUUGUUAUGCAUUGCAGUAUCCAUCUGAGAACAGUAUUUUGAAAGCUAUUUCUCUUUCAGUAGUAAAAGCAUUAGCAUUCUCAUCAUAUCCUGUGCUGGUCAUCAAGAUUUUAAUUUGUUAUAUAUUCAUUUCAAAGGAAACCCAAUGAAAAUGAUAUAAAAAUAAAGACAUUUGAAUUUUCCAUUUCUAUAGUGCAGACAGAGAAGGAUUAAAAUAACAUUUUCCUACUCUCUCUAUAAAACUAAUUUUUAAUCAUCUGCAUCGUAUGUUUUGGUACUUUAAUAAGAUAUUGAUAAAGAGUUACCUGGAUCUCUCCUUAUGGAGUUCUAAGUGGUUUUGGUCAUUGUUAGGGCAAUUUUGAAAAUAAUUUGUCUGUAUCACGAAGAUAAGCUUGAGAUUGUUAAUAAUUCCUGGAGACAGAUGGCCCCUUCUUCAGCGAACAAGCCUCCACCCU
rnacentral:lncRNA from 1 species